GGUCUGGUGGUCUAGUGGUAUGAUUCUCGCUUAGGGACAACCCUGUAGCACGCAUGCGAGAGGUCCCGGGUUCAAUCCCCGGCCAGACCC
rnacentral:tRNA from 1 species